rnacentral:rRNA from 1 species
AUUGAACGCUGGCGGCAGGCCUAACACAUGCAAGUCGAGCGGCAGCGCGGGGGCAACCCUGGCGGCGAGCGGCGAACGGGUGAGUAAUACAUGGGAAUCUGCCUAGUAGUGGGGGAUAACUCUGGGAAACUAGAGGUAAUACCGCAUACGCCCUACGGGGAAAGGGGGGGAUCUUCGGACCUCUCGCUAUUAGAGGAGCCCAUGUCCGAUUAGCUAGUUGGUGAGGUAAAGGCUCACCAAGGCGACGAUCGGUAACUGGUCUGAGAGGAUGGUCAGUCACACUGGAACUGAGACACGGUCCAGACUCCUACGGGAGGCAGCAGUCGGGGAAUAUUGGACAAUGGGGGCGAACCUGAUCCAGCCAUGCCGCGUGUGUGAAGAAGGCCUCGG